rnacentral:rRNA from 1 species
UGGGGAAUUUUGGACAAUGGGGGCAACCCUGAUCCAGCCAUGCCGCGUGUGCGAAGAAGGCCUUCGGGUUGUAAAGCACUUUUGGCGGGAAAGAAAAGGCGCUGGCCAAUACCUGGCGCCGAUGACGGUACCCGCAGAAUAAGCACCGGCUAACUACGUGCCAGCAGCCGCGGUAAUACGUAGGGUGCAAGCGUUAAUCGGAAUUACUGGGCGUAAAGCGUGCGCAGGCGGUUCGGAAAGAGAGAUGUGAAAUCCCAGGGCUUAACCUUGGAACUGCAUUUUUAACUCCCGGACUAGAGUAUGUCAGAGGGGGGUGGAAUUCCACGUGUAGCAGUGAAAUGCGUAGAUAUGUGGAGGAACACCGAUGGCGAAGGCAGCCCCCUGGGAUGAUACUGACGCUCAUGCACGAAAGCGUGGGGAGCAAACA